rnacentral:sRNA from 1 species
GUCGUGAGAUGUUGGGUUAGGUCCCGCAACGAGCGCAACCCUCAUUGUCAGUUGCCAUCAUUUAGUUGGGCACUCUGACGAAACUGCCGGUGACAAGCCGGAGGAAGGCGGGGAUGACGUCAAGUCCUCAUGGCCCUUAUGGGCUGGGCUACACACGUGCUACAAUGGCGGUGACAGUGGGGUGCAAGACCGCAAGGUGGAGCAAAUCCCAAAAAGCCGUCUCAGUUCAGAUUGCACUCUGCAACUCGAGUGCAUGAAGGUGGAAUCGCUAGUAAUCGUGGAUCAGCAUGCCACGGUGAAUACGUUCCCGGGCCUUGUACACACCGCCCGUCACACCAUGGGAGUUGGCUUUACCCGAAGCCGGUGCGCUAACCGCAAGGAGGCAGCCGACCACGGUAAGGUCAGCGACUGGGGUGAAGUCGUAACAAGGUAGCCGUAGGGGAACCUGCGGCUGGAUCACCUCCUUUCUAAGGAAAAACGUCAGGCAACGAGCCUACUGCCGAGCGAUCGGCGGGAGUUCCUACAUGUACAGGGAAUUCCUAGGCCACCGUCUCCGCAUCCCUUCUCCGGAUCUGAUCGAGCAAGCUGGCCGCGCGUGUCAUGCGCAGCGGCCCUGUUUGCUUGGAACGAGCUCUAGGGGCUAGUAGCUCAGUUGGUUAGAGCACACGCUUGAUAAGCGUGGGGUCGGAGGUUCAAGUCCUCCCUGGCCCACCAUGCAUCCGUCGAAACCGGGGGCGUAGCUCAGUUGGGAGAGCGCUAGCUUUGCAAGCUUGAGGUCGUCGGUUCGAUCCCGUCCGCCUCCACCAGUUUCGUGGAUGCGGCGGACUCGAUAGAGCGUCGUGAGUAAGAUCCGGAGCGGUUAAGAAUUUCGGAGCCCGUCAAGGGCGCCGAUCGCGGCCGAGAUUCGGCUUUGCGGAUAUUGGACACGUAAAUAGGGUUUUCUAGACCAAGGUAGCCUGCUUUCGGGGCGCCCUGCUAAAGGUCUGGGUGGCGUUCGGCCGGAAUGCUUUGCAUUUCAUACGACGCCGUCUUCGGAUCCAAGGGCUCUUUGUGGGCAGGUUAAUUUGAUGCUGAGUACCGUCCGGCCGGUCUUGCCGGAUGGUUAGUGAUCAGGCGGCGCGGCGACGAAAUCGUCCCUGCGCGCGGUCCUGAAUUUUCAAGCGAAUUAAGGGCAUUUGGUGGAUGCCUUGGCACUGAGAGGCGAUGAAGGACGUGACACGCUGCGAUAAGCCGUGGGGAGCUGCGAGUAAGCUUUGAUCCGCGGAUUU